GACGAACGCUGGCGGCGUGCUUAACACAUGCAAGUCGAACGGAAAGGCCCUGCUUUUGUGGGGUGCUCGAGUGGCGAACGGGUGAGUAACACGUGAGUAACCUGCCCUUGACUUUGGGAUAACUUCAGGAAACUGGGGCUAAUACCGGAUAGGAGCUCCUGCUGCAUGGUGGGGGUUGGAAAGUUUCGGCGGUUGGGGAUGGACUCGCGGCUUACCAGCUUGUUGGUGGGGUAGUGGCUUACCAAGGCUUUGACGGGUAGCCGGCCUGAGAGGGGGACCGGCCACAUUGGGACUGAGAUACGGCCCAGACUCCUACGGGAGGCAGCAGUGGGGAAUAUUGCACAAUGGGCGGAAGCCUGAGGCAGCAACGCCGCGUGCGGGAUGACGGCCUUCGGGUUGUAAACCGCUUUCGCCUGUGACGAAGCGUGAGUGACGGUAAUGGGUAAAGAAGCACCGGCUAACUACGUG
rnacentral:rRNA from 1 species